rnacentral:rRNA from 1 species
AGUGGCGUACGGGUGAGUAACACGUGGGUAUACACUUCUUUGUGGGGAAUACCCCUGGGAAACCGGGGACAAUACCGCAUAAGCCCGAGAGGGGAAAGCAGCAAUGCGCAGAGAAAGUAGCCCGCGGCCGAUUAGCUAGUUGGUGAGGUAAUGGCUCACCAAGGCGAAGAUCGGUAGCCGGCCUGAGAGGGCACACGGCCACACUGGCACUGAAACACGGGCCAGACUCCUACGGGAGGCAGCAGUGGGGAAUCUUGCACAAUGGACGAAAGUCCGAUGCAGCGACGCCGCGUGAGCGAUGAAGCCCUUCGGGGUGUAAAGCUCUUUCGACGGGGACGAUAAUGACGGUACCCGGAGAAGAAGCUGCGGCUAACUACGUGCCAGCAGCCGCGGUAAUACGUAGGCAGCGAGCGUUGUUCGGAAUUACUGGGCGUAAAGCGUGCGUAGGCGGUGCUAUAAGUUCGGUGUGAAAUCUCCCGGCUCAACUGGGAGGGUGCGCCGGAAACUGUGGUGCUAGAGUGCAGGAGAGGUAAGCGGAAUUCCUGGUGUAGCGGUGAAAUGCGUAGAUAUCAGGAGGAACACCUGCGGUGUAGACGGCUUACUGGACUGUGACUGACGCUGAGGCACGAAAGUGUGGGGAGCAAACAGGAUUAGAUACCCUGGUAGUCCACACCCUAAACGAUGCACACUUGG